GUGAACGCUGGCGGUAGGCCUAACACAUGCAAGUCGCACGGCAGCACAGUAAGAGCUUGCUCUUCCGGGUGGCGAGUGGCGGACGGGUGAGGAAUACAUCGGAAUCUACUUUUUCGUGGGGGAUAACGUAGGGAAACUUACGCUAAUACCGCAUACGACCUACGGGUGAAAGCAGGGGAUCUUCGGACCUUGCGCGAUUGAAUGAGCCGAUGUCGGAUUAGCUAGUUGGCGGGGUAAAGGCCCACCAAGGCGACGAUCCGUAGCUGGUCUGAGAGGAUGAUCAGCCACACUGGAACUGAGACACGGUCCAGACUCCUACGGGAGGCAGCAGUGGGGAAUAUUGGACAAUGGGCGCAAGCCUGAUCCAGCCAUACCGCGUGGGUGAAGAAGGCCUUCGGGUUGUAAAGCCCUUUUGUUGGGAAAGAAAAGCAGCAGGUUAAUACCCCGCUGCUCUGACGGUACCCAAAGAAUAAGCACCGGCUAACUUCGUG
rnacentral:rRNA from 1 species